GAUGAACGCUGGCGGCGUGCCUAAUACAUGCAAGUCGAGCGAACAGACGAGGAGCUUGCUCCUCUGACGUUAGCGGCGGACGGGUGAGUAACACGUGGAUAACCUACCUAUAAGACUGGGAUAACUUCGGGAAACCGGAGCUAAUACCGGAUAAUAUAUUGAACCGCAUGGUUCAAUAGUGAAAGACGGUUUUGCUGUCACUUAUAGAUGGAUCCGCGCCGCAUUAGCUAGUUGGUAAGGUAACGGCUUACCAAGGCAACGAUGCGUAUCCGACCGGAGAGUGUGAGCGGCCACACGGGAACGGAGACACGGGCCAGACGCCGACGGGAGGCAGCAGUGGGGAAUAUUGGACAAGGGGCGCAAGCCUGAGCCAGCAAUACCGCGUGGGUGAAGAAGGCCUUCGGGUUGUAAAGCCCUGUUAUUGGGAAAGAAAAGAAGCAGAUGAAAACCCCGCUGUCCUGGCGGUACCCAAAGAAUAAGCACCGGCUAACUUCGUG
rnacentral:rRNA from 1 species